GUUUUAUGAUGAAAAGUGCGUGUCAUAUGACCCCCAUGGUAACCUGCUUCUGUACUAUUCAGACUGUGUCUUGCAGUCUGUAUCUGUAUGGUGCAAUGCAUUGUGGGGAGCUGAUUUUGGCUAAAUCUGAAAAC